UGUCGGUAUCCAGAGGAGACUUAAUCCAGCUCACUUGCAACAUAUCCAACAACAAUACAAAAAUGAUCCAAUGGACCAAAGACAGAUAUUAUUUUUCACACUCCUACUCCUCUAAUCGAAGUUCUUCAAAUUUCUCCUCUAACAGUCUGAGAAUAGACCUAAAAGUACCAUCUACGUUUAAUAUUUCUAAUGCUCAGCAUGAUGAUGCAGGACUUUAUACAUGCAUUAUAACUGAUAGUAACGGCUUUAACAAUAUGACAUGGAAUGUAACAGUAACAGUAUUUGAGAACCAAAAAGAAAUCAGUUUAUUACUGUAUAUUACAUGCACACUACUACCUGCCUUUGGACUGAUUUUAUGUUGCACUGCAUUAGCUGUCUGCCUCUGCAGGAGAAAAAAUGCGACUGGAAACCAAGAUCUGGACCUGAACAACAGCAGAAUCUUGAGUUGUGUCGUGUAUAACGUUCAGCUUAAAUAAAAGGCAGUUCCUUCACAGAUUAAAAUGACUGCAAUGUAGAGGAAAACUGACAAACUGGACUUAGACGCAUAUCGAUCACCAGAUCAGAACAACGUGAUAUAUGUUGUUUUGCAUUGCACACAAUGCUAAGCCCAUCUUUAUUUCUGUGUGAAGUUCUUGCAAAGAGUUUGUUUUUGUCGUCUUGCCUGCCUUUCUCCAGCAUGCUCAGCAUCAGUCAUUGCGACGUGUCAAACUCUAGUCCUUGGGGGCCGUUGUCCUGCAAGUAUUGGAUGUAUCACUGAUCCAGUGCACCUGAAUCAAAUAUAUACAUUACCUCUUCAAAUUGCAAUCAAGUUCUACUCAGUCCUGCUAAUCACCUGAAUCAUUUGAUUCAGAUGUUUUGCAGCAGAUAUGCAUCUAAAGGUUGCAGGACACUGGCGCUGAAGUUUUUAAUCCCUGAGUCAGGGGUUUUCUUCAAGCGUGUAACCUGGCUCCAAAUCCAAAGUGAGAAGACUUGGGAAAACCCAAAAGCCACUACCUGGAGAGGUCAGUGGCUAUCUCUACCGCCAAGAGAGGUUCUGAUGCAGAACUAUAGAGCAGAAAUUUAUCAAUCAGAGGAAGAACUAGUUUUAAAAGUGUAAUGUAUCUUUAUGUUCCACUGUGUAACAUUUUCUCUGUUCUGGUCUAUAAAACCGUCAGUACAAUUUCUACAAAUGUUGUUCAUAACUGAAAUAAAAUAAUCUGACUUUUGACUUUAUCUGAGCGCCAACCUAAAAUCAGUAAAUUUCAGUUUAAAUUAGUUUUAGUAUUUGUCCAGCAGAGGGCAUGUGUGAGUUUCCAAGAUAAUUCUGAAAAGGCACAAUCAAUUAAAAGAGCAAUUCACUUAUUUUAAAAAGCAGUUCAAAAUUGGGUUUGUGGGGCUAUAAUAGGAAGGCAGUACCCUAUAUAUUUGGUGUGGAAAAUAAACUUGAUGAAUAUUAUAUGAAAUUAGACUGGACUGAGGCUCUGUGGAGAUCCAGUUAGUUGUUAGCACAACAGUUGUGGGAAAGAUGGGAAUUUUGAGUUUGUUUUUUAUUUCCUAAAGCUUCAAAACUCUCUAUCUACUGGUAUAAUAUAAUAUAAUUCACUAAGCAGUAAAAAAACAAUAAACAAGCAGAGCAGUUUUUUUUUUUGACUCAAAAUUAUGCGCCAUUUUGU